rnacentral:rRNA from 1 species
UACGGGGGGGGCAAGCGUUGUUCGGAAUUACUGGGCGUAAAGGGCUCGUAGGCGGCCAACUAAGUCAGACGUGAAAUCCCCCGGCUUAACCUGGGAACUGCGUCUGAUACUGGACGGCUUGAGUAUGGGAGAGGAACGUAGAAUUCCAGGUGUAGCGGUGAAAUGCGUAGAUAUCUGGAGGAAUACCGGUGGCGAAGGCGGCGUUCUGGACUUCUCACCGACGCUCAGGCACGAAAGCGUGGGGAUCAAACAGG